rnacentral:lncRNA from 1 species
UAUUCCGAUUCGAAUCUAGGGCUUCGAAGCAUAAUAAAUCCAUAUAUUGUAUGAAAAAUGUAGGCUUUUCUCUUUUUUUCCUCCCUUUUUGCGUGUGUGUUAUACUUUUGGAGAACUGUGUGGCACUAUAAUGCGAGGAAAACAUAUGCUAAUGAAACGGGGCUUCUUUUCGUUCAUAGGAUGCGAGCUUAUGGUAACAGGAUAGCAGUGUCGUGUUAGGUUUCACCAUAGAAGUGUAUUUGGUGGCAAUCUUGUGAGGCUUGGCUUGUUUGGAUGCUCUGUUUUUCCAUGUAGAAUAGUAUGUUCUGUAGAUUUGAUAUACAGGUUGAUAUGAUUUCUAUUAAAUAUGAUACCAAUGACACAAGUAUGAUAAUUUUUGCUUGGAGCAUACAGGAUAAGAUAACAUUGUCAAUGAGAUACCUGAACUAGCAUGUGGAUGUAAAAUCACAAGUGCAAUAGGAUAAUCAUAACUUAUGAAUCAAUAGCAGCACCACUAGAUGAUUAUCUACAGUCUUUUGCAGUGCAAUACGUGCAACAAACAUUACAUGCGUUAGGCACAAAGAAAGUUUUCUGCUUGGCUUAUAUCUAGACCUUUCUAGCUCACAUAUGAUAUAUGGCACAGGUGAUACAGUUUGAUGUCACAGAUGGAACGUUUGUCUAAUACAAGGACAUAGCACAAAAGGUUGAGAGCCUUUAUAAAAUUUUACAAUACCAAGAAACCAAGCAUCAAGCACUGGAUUAUAUAGAAUUUACUCUGAUCAUUCAAUAAUCAGAUAUGAGAUCUCAAAUCAAUGACAGUCAACUCCUCUACUAAUUGAAUUUCAGUUACAUGGUUGACAUAAUAACCGGAUAAUCCAAAUGUGAACUUACAAACUAGUUUCUGAACUUCAUAUCUUCCUGUUACAACUGACAACAAAACCAAAAGGGAUGUAAAAGCAUGAGCAACAUUGUUGUCAGAACCUUAUAUCCUAGGAAUCGUAGGAUAGGGAUCACUAAGGAUCAUAAUCUAUAUCCAUGCUGUGCAUCAUAUGAUUCCUUAGAUCACAAAAUUUAACUCAGUUGUGUUUUUUGCACAUUAAACCAAGUGGAAGAGGUCAAUUCUAUGUGAUUUAUUUACUUUUUGACUUUAGAAUUAUUUUUACAAUAAGCCUUGAAGUAUAAGUUGCAGCUGUUUUAUGUUUUUCAACUUUUAAUUACUAAGCAAAAAUCAAUCGAUGGCAAAUAAAUUAAUUUAUUUUAGUUUAUUGUAUUUUCAAAACUUUUAUUCAAGUAAUAUUUAGACUAUGUUCUAGAGUCAUGUUUUUAGGGGGAUUCACGCACAAUAGUCCUACAUCAAUGGUAUGUUGGCUUGGAAAAUUAUUGUCAUUACAAUUUGAUAUGUUGCCAGUUUGGUUGUCUUUCUAUAUAAAGAUCAUAUGGGAUUUCAGACUUUGCAUUUAGGAAAUAUUUUGGUCCCCUUGCUGGGAUAGGUUAUUUGGUUUUCAACAUUUCUAGCUCCCUUGUAGAAAACGUAGACAAGAGUCUAUAGAAGCACCAAUUACAGCUAUUUAAACGAAAGAUUUUUGUUUGGGUUGUAAACAUGAUAAAGAUGAUCAAAUUACCUUAGUUCAAGCUUAAUUGGGAAUCUUUCAAGACUUUCUUGAGCUCAUCACGACCUAGCUAGCCCAACUUAAGCUCAACUUGUCUAUUAUCGAUCUAGCAAGGUCUCGGAAUAGUUGGGCUNNNNNNNNNNNNNNNNNNNNUGUUUGGGUUGUAAACAUGAUAAAGAUGAUCAAAUUACCUUAGUUCAAGCUUAAUUGGGAAUCUUUCAAGACUUUCUUGAGCUCAUCACGACCUAGCUAGCCCAACUUAAGCUCAACUUGUCUAUUAUCGAUCUAGCAAGGUCUCGGAAUAGUUGGGCUUGCUAGUAGGUGAGGGAACGGGGGAAGGCUUGAUGAUGAUAAGAGAUGUGGCUAGGAAGUGGAUGGAAAUAAUGCCUAUGGCAUGGCUCAAGAGUUGGGCAGAGGAUAUAAUCAAAUUCUUGAUCAGAAUUUCAAAAUAUAUGACUUAAUCUUGACUAUCAAUGUUCAUUAUGAUCGUCGUUGUAGAUGCAUCCUUCAUCUCAACACCAUUAUUGGUGAUGCACAGUUGAGGAAGAAGAUGUAGAAGAAUGCCCCUUACUUUGUUUCCAUCUUUACAAUAGGUUGCAACCUGAGCCAGUAAGGUUGGUCGAAUGCUAAUCCAACCCCAACUCUACAUCUAUUUUUGUAAACAAAAUCAACUUGAGGGGCCUCGGUUGGGUUUCUCUUACAAAGCCCAACGCAACACUAUCUUAAGUUAAAUUUGGUUCGGGUUAGGUUAGAGUCGUGUUGGGUUGGGCUAGUCCAUGUUAAUUGAAUUAAAUCGGGUCGAGCAAGAAUGAUAAGGUGGUGGAAAAGUUUGGGAUGCUUUUUUGUUGGAUUUAAUUGCUGGCUCAAGACCUCAACCAUCUAUUUAUUUUGAUGGUAUAGUUUCUCAAUUUUACAUUUUAAUAAGACAAAGGACAUAGUUAUAUAAAAUAUAUAAUUAAUUUUAUUUGAAAUAAAUAUGAUUUAGUUAUCUAUCUUUUAGUUUGUCAGGUGUGUGUUGGGUUUUGGUUUUGUUGAAUUGUUUAAGCUCAACUCUGACCCAACACAACUAGAGAUUGGAUUAGGAUUUCUGAGCCUAAGGCCAAUACAAAUUUAUAAAAACUUAACCCAACCCUACCUGGCAACUGAGUUGGACAAGUUAGGUUGAGCCCAGCCCAAGUUGCACCCCUACUUUGCCUUGAGAUGUUCUAGAAGAAGAAAUAAGGGAAACAUUUCUCUUUAGGAGGAGAGAGGAAAAGGGUUUCCAUUCUUUUGGUACCUAUGUUAUCCAGCUGGAAAGAGGGGUUAUUUAGGAAAACCUACUAAAGACAUUGAUUCCAGCCAUUGGAUUGAAAUCUAAUGGCUCAGACAUGCAUCCUUCUUUGUGUAAGAGGGUAUUUAUUUAAAAAACUACAGAAAUAACUCUCUUUAUAAAUAACAAAAAUUAUGUAACAUAUAUUUUACUAAUUUAUAUCAAUUUAUUUAAAAUUAUGCAGUGUGUAUUUAUCAAGUUAUCUAUUUAUAAAUAUAUCAAGUUAUAUCAAGCCAAACAUGAGUUACCGCCCAUAGCUUGUAUUUAGGUCUUUUGUAUUUCAAGUUCAAAACUCCUGUUCAUUUUGGAUCAUUUAUUAAUGAAGCAACCCAAAAUCAAGCUGAAUUUCAAGCCAAACAUAAGUUUUUCAUGAAUAGCUUGUUUAUUUGAUAGCCCUACUUCUAGUGGGCAACUUUAGCCUUUCUUAUUUCUCUCUCUUCUUAAUCUCUCUUCUAUGAUGUUUCACUUAGUUAAUAUUAUCCUUGUUUCACUUUUCUAAAUAUCACUUUACUCCUGUUCUCUAUAUAUAUGUGCAAUCCCUGAUCUGAUUUUCUAUUAUGAUGUUAUGUAAUUACUCUGGUCACCCUGGUUGACAAGUUUCAUUUGUAACUUCUUCUUUGGACGUAUUCCUCAUCCAAAAAUCUUACACAAUUUUUUUUGGUCUUCUAAAUCUUAUAAUCAUCAAAAUAACCAUUUCUGCCCUUAUUUUUGCAAGACAGGAAGCUGAUUUCCUAACCUAAAUCCUUCUGAUUCCUUUUUAGGUCCACCUAUUCCCUGCAAGCGACCCAUAAGUGGUCUUAGCAUUUUGUUAUUAUAUCUAAAGUAUCCUACUUUGUUCUUCCUUUUUUUCUUGAUCUUCUUUCUACUUUCCUUGUUCUUUUCAUAUUACCAAAUGAGGAGUUAAGUUUCAAGGUCCAUGUUCUUCAUGAACAUGUCCAAUAUGAGGUCUUUGAGAAGUUGCAUGAUGAUAUGAUGUAUGAAUAAUAAUAUGGCAUGGCUAACUUUUAUGGUGGAUAUGAUCUAGUGAUUUUCCUAGACUUGAUUCAUGGUCUUGAAUGUUAACUUCUAUUUGUUGAAGCAAAGUGGAAGGGGAUAGCAUGGACAUGGUGGACUAACUUCAUUACGUCGCUGUCAUUGCUUGGGAUGAUAUGAAAGUGAUGACAACUUGUUAAUUUAUGCUUUCUAACUACCGAGAAUGACUACAAUUGAAAUUCACACAUUUCAUGCAAUGGAGUUUGACCUGUUAGGACUAUAUUGUCAAGUUCUAUAGCUUGAUGACUUGAUUUGAGUUUCCAUAGGUUGAGGCUACCAUGUUAUUUAUUCAUUGCUAGAUUUCACUUCAUCUUGAUCCAUUUCUAAGCUAAUAUCUGUUUUCAAGAGUCUCAAUAAUCACGUUACGAAGCAAGCAUUGCCUAUCCCAGAUCCCAGAAUCUCCUACCGAAUGACACGAUUGAAUCCUUAACAAGACAACAAACAGGUACCUUUUGCAAUGGAAAAGGCAAAUCUGUUUUGAGAAUAGAGUUAAGAGGUCCCCCCUUGAAAGAGGAGUUUCAUGGUCGAUGUAUUCUGCUCUCUCCGCACUGAGUUGUAAAAGCUAGCUUUGACAUUUCCUAUAACAACAAAUCAGGGGCUUCCACAUGCCAAGUCAAAGGUUAAGUAGACUUCUUGGACAAAAAAUGCAUGCCUCAAUUGUUUGUUGUCAAAGCAUUGCUCACCUUCAUUUCAAAUAAGAAUAAUUGUAUCUGAAAGAAUGUUAUUGGGAAUUAGAUGUGAUCAGAACUAUUAUAUCCUACCUAUAUGCAUCAUUUAUCCUUUGACAUGUUGAGGAUGUGCUAGAGAACCAUAUGGAAUUAGAGAUAAGUACAUUAUAGGAGGCCUUUAAGUAUCAUAAAUACAAAGCUCAAAUGGUUGAGAAUUGACUGAUAAGCUGUGAUGGUUUGGUCUUUUUUGGUGAAGAUAUAGGUAGUUGUAUGUAGAAUCAAUAUUGUGUGGAUAAUUGUGAUGAGAAAGGGUUCCAACAAAGUAUAUUUGUUAUAUCGAAUCUAAUUUUCAUGUGUCAUCCAUGAGAUAGGGCUUGUAAAUAUUUAAAAUUAGAUUGGUUCACUAAGGAUAUCAGGUCAAAAGAACGCAUGAUGCACAUGCAACAGGCAAGGGAACCCUACCUAAAGAUUAAGUGAAUGAAUGGAUGUGAUAAAAUCAUAAAACAAUUAAGUUCAACAGGGGACAAAAAGUUAGGAGGGUGUGGGCACCUCUCUCUCUCUCACACACACACGCACGCGCACACACAAAUUCAUGGACACAACAAAAAGAAAAAAAUAGAAAAAAAGAAAGCAUGGCUUUCUGCAUUGAAGUUUGUCCUUUUAGCUGGAAACUUGUUUUAUCUGGGUCAACAUCAUUUAACAUGUAUUGUUGGCCUAUGGGACAGUUAAGUAGAUGGAUUAAUGAGAUUAUGAGGGAAGAUGAGUAUGCUUGAUUAUCUGGAAAUCAUAUUUUCAUCUUAUGUUCUACUUAACUAAUAUCACUAGAAAGUCGAUAUGGAUUGGAGUCUUUUUAAGCCCGCAACGUUCCCAGUUUCUCUGUUUCUGCCAACCUGUUAAGAUCAUUAUAUUUUCCCAUUUAUCUGUACCAUUUUGUUCUCUUUGUGGUGGAGGAAUUAGCAAUAAAGCAUGAAAGGUGGAAUCAAGAUGUUAAAUCAUGUUAAUAUGAAUAAAUAAGAGAUGCAUGCUCCAUUAGUCAUGGACUUUUAAGGGGUGGUUGCUUUAUACAGUAGCACAGUCAUUACCUGGACGAGGAAUUUAAGCUUCAUUUGUACCAAGACUGUGGGUGCCAAAGGAAUUCUUGCAAUGUUAAAGUCUAUUUUAUUAUUACAUAAGUACCUCCUUCUACAAAAUUAGUUAUGUAAAAGCUGUAGGACACUACUUGGUGCCAGGUUGAGACAGAACUCCACUAAUGUAUAACUAAAUAGCACUCAUAGAAUGAUAUUUGGCUUGAUCCACCUCGAUCUUCCCUCCAGUCCCAAUCCUCUGUAGCAUCUGAUGAACUGUCUAGUGUAACAAAACACAAAUUA